UGGGGAAUUUUGGACAAUUGGGGAAACCCUGAUCCAGCCAUCCCGCGUGUGCGAUGAAGGCCUUCGGGUUGUAAAGCACUUUUGGCAGGAAAGAAACGUCAUGGGUUAAUACCCCGUGAAACUGACGGUACCUGCAAAAUAAGCACCGGCUAACUACGUGCCAGCAGCCGCGGUAAUACGUAGGGUGCAAGCGUUAAUCGGAAUUACUGGGCGUAAAGCGUGCGCAGGCGGUUCGGAAAGAAAGAUGUGAAAUCCCAGAGCUCAACUUUGGAACUGCAUUUUUAACUACCGGGCUAGAGUGUGUCAGAGGGAGGUGGAAUUCCGCGUGUAGCAGUGAAAUGCGUAGAUAUGCGGAGGGACACCGAUGGCGAAGGCAGCCUCCUGGGAUAACACUGACGCUCAUGCACGAAAGCGUGGGGAGCAAACAGG
rnacentral:rRNA from 1 species